rnacentral:misc_RNA from 1 species
AAUCCUCAAAACCCUCUUCUUUCGGGAAAAGGAUGUUUUGGACUUGGAGGUUUAAUGCUCGCUUUUGCCCUUGAAAGCGAGCUCCUCUCAAAUGAAUCAGUGGGGUCUGCUUUGCUGGUCCUUGACGUGAUAAGAUGCUUCUACGUUUUGGAUCUAGCAUCGUCCUUUGGAUGCCCCUGCUCCUAAUCGUCUCACAGACAAUGAUGGUGCCUCCGGUCACUGCCAUUUACAUUGGCGGGAGGCUUGACCCACGAAAUGAA